ensembl:lncRNA
AACGCUGGAGCCCACGCCCGCACCUCCCCGAGCUGGAGCCGCAGCUCUGGUUUGGGGGGUGGGGGGUGGGGCGGUGGCGGAACCACUUUCUCCAGCAUGCAGUCCCCUGAGGCGCUGCCCGUUAAGCCCUUUAAGUGCGGAUUCCGCGGAUGUCCGAGGAGCGGUCAAGCUCCGUUUGGAGGAACGGGUGUCCGCGCGCACGGACGCGUGGGCGCUGCCACGCGACCUCCCGUUGGCGGAGGUCUCCCCUCGGCCGGCUGUCGCCUCCUCGCCAGACCGGGAAAGGCGCCGCUGCCUCACGAGAACUGGCCCCCGUGACCGACCCCGUCUCAGUUCGUAAGGGAGGACACACAGCACCCCACCUUGCGCUGGCCUCGGACCCCCGCGAGCCCUCAGAGCUCCCCCGGGACCCCCUACCCGGCAUCCCGCCCACCCAAGCGCGCAGCUCCUCACCUGAGGGUCCGGGUCGCGCCGGGCCUGCUGAGGGGGCUGCGGCGUCACCGCGACCUCCGCACGUGUCCGCGGCCCCGUGGAGCAGAAAAAAGCAUCAUCUCAAAAAAGUUCCGAGUAUCUAAUGGAGAGUGAUGACAUUUCAAAAAGUAUACAAAAAAGAACAGAGAAUCCAUGUUGGGAUAUCUAAACUCUCCAAAAUGAAAGCUCCUCAGGAAGCCAUUUCUAAAGAAUUGGAGGAAUAUAAGCAACUCCUUCUAGAGGGAUUUGAAGAUUUGAGAAGAAAACAAGAUGAGAUCAUUCAGGUUGCAAAAGCUUUUUCAAAGCAAGUGAAUGAAGCUAAUGAAGUGUUAGCAGAGUUCAGAACUAAAAAUUUUCUCCUGGAGAAACAACAGACUGGAACAUUAACCAAGUCUGUUUCUACGCAAACUGUUUCUACGCAAACUUCGGUAGUGUCACAUAGCGUUGGAAAUCGUGCUAAUAGUUUCUGGCUCAGCAGAGAUCUUACUCCACAACAAAACUUGGAGACUCCUACUUCAGCAACUCAGGCUUCACAUCACAACACUGCAGAGUCUUUGGACACGUUUGCCCUUCAGGAUCUUGACACCUCAACUUUAUGGGAAAGAUGUUUUCAGAUCAUUGAAAAAUGUAGGAGUCAACAAUAUUUGCCUUCAUGCCAGAAUAAAGGUGUGGUUUCUGUCUCCUGCUUAGACCUUGGACUCACAGUCAAAGCAGAAGAGCACUGA